AUUACCGAGUUAUUCAACUCAUCAACCCUGUGAACAUACCUAAACGUUGCUUCGGCGGGAACAGACGGCCCCGUGAAACGGGCCGCCCCCGCCAGAGGACCCCUAACUCUGUUUCUAUAAUGUUUCUUCUGAGUAAAACAAGCAAAUAAAUUAAAACUUUCAACAACGGAUCUCUUGGCUCUGGCAUCGAUGAAGAACGCAGCGAAAUGCGAUAAGUAAUGUGAAUUGCAGAAUUCAGUGAAUCAUCGAAUCUUUGAACGCACAUUGCGCCCGCCAGUAUUCUGGCGGGCAUGCCUGUUCGAGCGUCAUUACAACCCUCAGGCCCCCGGGCCUGGCGUUGGGGAUCGGCGGAGCCCCCCGUGGGCACACGCCGUCCCCCAAAUACAGUGGCGGUCCCGCCGCAGCUUCCAUCGCGUAGUAGCUAACACCUCGCGACUGGAGAGCGGCGCGGCCACGCCGUAAAACACCCAACUCUUCUGAAGUUGACCUCGAAUCAGGUAGGAAUACCCGCUGAACUUAAGCAUAUCAAUAGG
rnacentral:rRNA from 1 species